AAGUCUGCAGUAUUCUUAUCUUCUUUUGUGUUUCCAAUUGGGCUUGAACCAAAUUUAGGGCCCAACCCUUAUUUCCUUCGAGGGGUCACUUGAGUGUGUCUCAUUCUGCCAUUUUUCUUCUUCCUCAUCUCACUCAAACCAGAAGUUUGAAGCUUCUGCCUUUCUCUCCACCGCGAACGAACCAUCAUUGGGGGCGAGGAUGAUCUGCCUCUUGAGAAGCGGCAACGAUCCCACAACGGCGUUGACGGAGCGAACUCCUUUCUUAUCGGCGAGAGCGCGGCGACGGUGCGACGAAGGCGCAGUGAGGACACAACGUUCUCUCCACAGCAGUGUGCGUCGUAGUAACGGCUCUCCGAGACUCCGAUGGCAUUCUCGUAAAUCUUGGUUACCGUUUCGUGGUGGUUGUCGGAGUUGCAAAAGUGGUGCAGCCAUGGAAGUUGCGGUGAGUGGUCGUCGACUUGGCUUGGCCAAGGAGUGUUGCUCUGAUUGACCAUUCUGAAACGGCGAAGUUCUUCUUUGGGCCGGGAGUGAAUCUGGGUUGAUACAGUGGGAACAUAAUUGGGCCGCAGGCCCAGAGUUGAACAUAAAUGAAAUUAUUAAAUUACAAUAAUAAGAAUGUUUAUUUGGUCCUAGUUUGAGAUGUGUAGACUUCGUGAUUAUAUUAAGGUAAAAAAUACCUUUUCUUGUCCCAGUUUUGGUUGGUAACAGUCAAAAUGGUUCCCAUUUGUUUUUUCUGUUCACUUUAGU